rnacentral:rRNA from 1 species
GACAGAGGUGCCAAGCGUUAGGCGGAAUCACUGGGCUUAAAGCGUGUGUAGGCGGAUUUGUAAGUACCUUGUGAAAUCCCACGGCUCAACCGUGGAACUGCUCGGUAUACUGCUUAUCUUGAGCCACUUAGGGGCUACCGGAACAAAUGGUGGAGCGGUGAAAUGCGUAGAUAUCAUUUGGAACGCCAAUGGUGAAAACAGGUAGCUGGGGGUAUCCUGACACUGAGACACGAAAGCCAGGGGAGCAAACGGG